UACGGGGGGGGCAAGCGUUGUUCGGAAUUACUGGGCGUAAAGGGCUCGUAGGCGGCCAACUAAGUCAGACGUGAAAUCCCUCGGCUUAACCGGGGAACUGCAUCUGAUACUGGAUGGCUUGAGAUUGGGAGAGGGAUGCGGAAUUCCAGGUGUAGCGGUGAAAUGCGUAGAUAUCUGGAGGAACACCGGUGGCGAAGGCGGCAUCCUGGACCAACACUGACGCUGAGGAGCGAAAGCCAGGGUAGCAAACGGG
rnacentral:rRNA from 1 species